rnacentral:ncRNA from 1 species
GCAACAUUGGUGAACAGGACAGUAAUUCUUGUCGGACAGUCGCAGCGAGCCGGAGCAGGUGGGAACCGGUACGAAUGUCAAGAGUGAAGCGGGCCUGGGAAAUGGUCUUCCGAAAGUACGACGUAGGGAGAUCCGGCAUAAGCCGUUAUCGUUGGAGUGGUUAAACCAGUGGUUUAACACUUAGAGUGGUACCGCGGGAAUGAACAGCUCUCGUCUCUUAU